rnacentral:rRNA from 1 species
UACGUAGGUGGCAAGCGUUAUCCGGAAUUACUGGGCGUAAAGCGCACGCAGGCGGUCUCUUAAGUUUGACGUGAAAGCUCCCGGCUUAACUGGGAGAGGUCGUUGAAGACUGGGAGACUUGAGGCAAUGAGAGGGGUGUAGAAUUCCCGGUGUAGUGGUGGAAUGCGUAGAUAUCGGGGGGAAUACCAGUGGCGAAAGCGGCACCCUAGCAUUAGCCUGACGCUCAUGUGCGAAAGCGUGGGGAGCGAACGGG